rnacentral:lncRNA from 1 species
AUGGGAAAGACUAGAGAUCUCGUCAAGAAAAUUACAGAUACGAAGGGAAUAUUUCAUGCAAAGAUGGGCUCGAUAAAGGACAGAAAUGGUCUGGACCUAACAGAAGCAGAAGAUAUUAAGAAGAGGUGGCAAGAAUACACAGAAGAACUGUACAAAAAAGAUCUUCAUGACCCAGAUAAUCAUGAUGGUGUGAUCACUCACCUAGAGCCAGACAUCCUGGAAUGUGAAGUCAAGUGGGCCUUAGAAAGCAUCACUACGAACAAAGCUAGUGGAGGUGAUGGAAUUCCAGUAGAGCUAUUUCAAAUCCUGAAAGAUGAUGCUGUUAAAGUGCUGCACUCAAUAUGCCAGCACAUUUGGAAAACUCAGCAGUGGCCACAGGACUGGAAAAGGCCCAUUUUCAUUCCAAUUCCAAAGAAAGGCAAUGCAAAAGAAUGCUCAAACUACCACACAAUUGCACUCAUCUCACAUGCUAGUAAAGUAAUGCUCAAAAUUCUCCAAGCCAGGCUUCAGCAAUACCUGAACCAUGAACUCCCUGAUGUUCAAGCUGGUUUUAGAAAAGGCAGAGGAACCAGAGAUCAAAUUGCCAACAUCCACUGGAUCAUGGAAAAAGCAAGAGAGUUCCAGAAACACAUCUAUUUCUGCUUUAUUGACUAUGCCAAAGCCUUUGACUGUGUGGAUCACAAUAAACUGUGGAAAAUUCUGAAAGAGAUGGGAAUACCAGACCACCUAACCUGCCUCUUGAGAAAUUUGUAUACAGGUCAGGAAGCAACAGUUAAAACUGGACAUGGAACAACAGACUGGUUCCAAAUAGGAAAAGGAGUAUGUCAAGGCUGUAUAUUGUCACCCUGCUUAUUUAACUUCUAUGCAGAGUACAUCAUCAGAAACGCUGGACUGGAAGAAACACAAGCUGGAAUCAAGAUGGCCGGGAGAAAUAUCAAUAACCUCAGAUAUGCAGAUGACACCACCCUUAUGGCAGAAAGUGAAGAGGAACUAAAGAGCCUCUUGAUGAAAGUGAAAGAGGAGAGUGAAAAAGUUGGCUUAAAGCUCAACAUUCAGAAAACGAAGAUCAUGGCAUCUGGUCCCAUCAUUUCAUGGCAAAUAGAUGGGGAAACAGUGGGAACAGUGUCAGACUUUAUUUGGGGGGGCUCCAAAAUCACUGCAGAUGGUGAUUUCAGCCAUGAAAUUAAAAGAUGCUUACUCCUUGGAAGGAAAGUUAUGACCAACCUAGAUAGCAUAUUCAAAAGCAGAGACAUUACUUUGCCGACUAAGGUCGGUCUAGUCAAGGCUAUGGUUUUUCCUGUGGUUAUGUAUGGAUGUGAGAGUUGGACUGUGAAGAAAGCUGAGCACUGA